GACGAACGCUGGCGGCGUGCCUAACACAUGCAAGUCGAACGAAGCAUAGCAAUAUGCUUAGUGGCGGACGGGUGAGUAACGCGUGAACAAUCUGCCCUGUACAAAGGAAUAGCCUCGGGAAACCGGGAUUAAAACCGUAUGACACUUUAGUAUCGCAUGAUAAGAAAGUCAAAUCGAAUAGAGGUAUGGGAUGAGUUCGCGUCUGAUUAGCUGGUUGGCGGGGUAACGGCCCACCAAGGCGACGAUCAGUAGCCGGCCUGAGAGGGUGAACGGCCACACUGGAACUGAGACACGGUCCAGACUCCUACGGGAGGCAGCAGUGGGGAAUAUUGCACAAUGGAGGGAACUCUGAUGCAGCGACGCCGCGUGAGUGAAGAAGGUCUUCGGAUCGUAAAACUCUGUCCUUGGUGAAGAAAGGACGGUAGCCAAGGAGGAAGCCCCGGCUAACUACGUGCCAGCAGCCGCGGUAAACGUAGCGUG
rnacentral:rRNA from 1 species